GUUUUCUCAAUGAUAACUUGGCAGGAGAAGGGGGAAGCGGCCGGGUUUUUUGCUUGGGCUCGUUUACCGGGGUGACGAUCAGCGCUAGGCCAGCCUCGCUGGGCACCGCCACGUCCCACCUGGAGAAAUAAAGCACACACGCAAAAAAAAAAA